AUUUUGAUUAUGUGACCAUGGGGAUACUGCAAUGCUCACAAGGGUGAAAAACGUUCAUAACUCGCUUUUUUCACUGCCAUUAUAACUUCGAACGGUCACUAA